rnacentral:rRNA from 1 species
ACGCACGCUGGCGGCGUGCCUAAUACAUGCAAGUAGAACGCUGAAGGAGGAGCUUGCUUCUCUGGAUGAGUUGCGAACGGGUGAGUAACGCGUAGGUAACCUGCCUGGUAGCGGGGGAUAACUAUUGGAAACGAUAGCUAAUACCGCAUAAGAGUAGAUGUUGCAUGACAUUUGCUUAAAAGGUGCAAUUGCAUCACUACCAGAUGGACCUGCGUUGUAUUAGCUAGUUGGUGGGGUAACGGCUUACCAAGGCGACGAUACAUAGCCGACCUGAGAGGGUGAUCGGCCACACUGGGACUGAGACACGGCCCAGACUCCUACGGGAGGCAGCAGUAGGGAAUCUUCGGCAAUGGACGGAAGUCUGACCGAGCAACGCCGCGUGAGUGAAGAAGGUUUUCGGAUCGUAAAGCUCUGUUGUAAGAGAAGAACGAGUGUGAGAGUGGAAAGUUCACACUGUGACGGUAUCUUACCAGAAAGGGACGGCUAACUACGUG